rnacentral:lncRNA from 1 species
AGCCUGAGAGAAAAGGACACUGCAUAUCACAGAGAGAUGCAUAGAUGUUACACUCAGAAAGAGAGUGAACAACUAGAAGAUGUGGAAGAACCAGUUUGGCUCUGGAGUCAAGAAUUCUCAAAACAGCUUUCUGAACCUGAAUCGCACGCAGUAAAGCUGGUGUUCUCCUGAAGCCAACAUUUAUGGUAUCACCUUGCUGAUCCAGGCAAAAUGGCAAAAGUGUAGUGAACAUAAAGCCAGGGGCUGAGAUUGUGGAUGUCCUCUGUACCAAGUUUCUUAUUAUGAAAAUUCCAAGGGCCAAUUUUGAAACAAACCAGGCAGAGACCCAGAUGCAGAAUCCUGCAGGCUGAGGGAUGUUAGGAAGAGUUAGCCCACCACUGCUGCGCUGAAACCAGGAUGACGCAAACUGGGCCUCAGGCCAGGUGUAUUCCUUGGAGUAUAACUGAAGGUUUACUUGGUAAUUCUAUGUUUAACUUUUUUUGGAACUUCUGGACUAUCUUCCAAAGCAACAGUACCAUUGUACAUUUUCACCAGCCACGUAUGACAGUCACACUCUCUCCACAUUCUUGCCAAAACUUGUUAUCAUUUUUCAAAUAAAAGACAGCCUAGUGUGUAUCUGAAA